rnacentral:rRNA from 1 species
UACGAAGGGGGCUAGCGUUGCUCGGAAUCACUGGGCGUAAAGGGUGCGUAGGCGGGUCUUUAAGUCAGGGGUGAAAUCCUGGAGCUCAACUCCAGAACUGCCUUUGAUACUGAGAAUCUUGAGUUCGGGAGAGGUGAGUGGAACUGAGAGUGUAGAGGUGAAAUUCGUAGAUAUUCGCAAGAACACCAGUGGCGAAGGCGGCGCACUGGCCCGAUACUGACGCUGAGGCACGAAAGCGUGGGGAGCAAACAGG